rnacentral:misc_RNA from 1 species
CACAAUACAACAACAAGCACAACGCGACGACGACACUUCUCCACUCAGUUGAACUCAGGCAGCGAAUUGCAACCACCAACAAAUAGAGACUACCGAACACCGCUCUACAGCAGAGAUUAUAGUAUCAACCAGGCCAGGCCAAGUCAAGCCAAGGCAAGCGCAGCCAAUGUACAACAAUCGAACGUCAGUAUGAAAAUGAAAAGCGCGUAAACAGGCUGUUUUGUCUCCAUUUGCGCAGUGAACGCGUUACGCGGCUGUAGUUGAAAUCGAAAUACAAACAACAAAUCAAUCCUAUUCCAUUUUACUCUCACCACGCACAACAAAUCGUCAGUAGUAGCAAACGAAAAGGCAGAAGCAGCAGCCAGUUAUAAGCUGAGCAAAAUCCGGAAAAAAUUUCAGGCUACAAACAAAAUACAUUGCGUGCGCUUACGAAACGCGUAAAACUAGUGAAAAAUUGUUUUGAAAAUAAAAGUAAUGAUGAAUAGUGAAAAUAUUUAAGGAAAUUGUAUGAAAAAAAAUUGUGGUUUUGUUUUGUGAGUUUUGUGUGAGCAAAAGGAAACUGUGCGAAAAGUGUUCGGAUAAGCGAAGUGGACGCGUUAACGCAGUGCCAAAAGUGUUGUAUUGUGAAACCGAAAAAGGAAAUGUGCAAGUGCCCGAUGAUGCCCCGCAAUUAAAUCCUCUGCAACGCUCCACCAGCUGAAAAGUCAAAAAGAGUUUCGUUAACAUUAUAUAGAACAUUAUAAGGCACAGAUUCUUCAGCUUCCAUUACCGACAGUCCGAAGAAACGCUCAACAACAGCAACAUCUUCACAAGAUUCACCAAUAAUAUU